AAUACCAGACGAGCGAUGCAGGCCCAUUGGGCCUCUUGUAUUAACUUCAAAAUAUUAAUUAUCAAUUUAGCAAAUGUUUUGCUCUUUCUUGUUUUGUCUAUACAGAAAUAUUGGUAUGGAAGACAUGCAUAGUCCACAACAUCUAAAUGGAAUGUCUUUUAUUGGUCACAAGCAGCGAAAUUUGUUUGACGUGUCGGUAUAAAAUAAGACUCUGACGGCAAUCAAAUCUGUCCCGAGUCAUGACCACACUGAUGUCCUGGGACCCGCUUGUCCUUUCCAAAACAACCCUAUAUCUAAUGUCUUUGAAAAUGCUUCGACCGGGAAAGACUUGGACCUACAAUAUACUGUUUGCUAUUGAAGCAAGUGUUAAAACUGGCGCAACAUGUUCCAACCCUUAUUUAUAUAGAACAGAGUAUCAAUGGACGAAUCUCUUGUACAAUACAAACAGUUCGCCAGUAGAUUCUACACGAAAGGUUUAACGUAUGCAUGUUCCAGAGGGAUAUAUUGAAUGAUUUCCCCUUUUAUUUUAGGAUAUUGAACUAACAUCAUUAUAAAUCAAAAACUACACAUGAAGACCUGUUUUGGGAAGUAGCAUUUUAGUAAAAUGUUGAUUUGUUACGUGUCGGCUAGGUUAUGUUUUAUUUUAUUGUAUUGUGUUUACCUGAACAUCCAGAAUACGAAUGUGUAUGUAUUUGACAGCAAUCAUCAGUUUUGUAAUGAACCUUUCAAAUCUUCUCUAACUUAGUGUAAUUGUCAAUAUACUUUCUGCGUUAUUAUUAUAGAUUCCUGGCCUUUGUUGCUAACAUACGAAGUCGUAUAGUCCGG